GUCAACACCCAAACUGCCCGGGCGAAGCGAAGUUCGGCUUACCCGCAGCAAGAAGGCAGCACUAAGCAGAGCACAGAUCACCCGACAAUCGAUAGCCAAUCAAUGAAUCUCUAGUUCAAAUUCACUGACACUUGCGCAUUUCGCUAUUCUCUGACGUCAUUCGCUAUGAAUUUUCUGAUUGGCUCUUAGCUAUGGGACAUGCUUAGUCUUCCUCACGGGGAAGAAGAUUCGUUUUCUAACGGUUUCCGCCAUUAUUCUUCUUUCGGCUACCUCAAGAUCACCUCGUGUUCUUCUCUCAGCUAAUUUUUCUAAUUGCUUGGCUUCUGUUAACCAAAAUUACUGUGUGUAAAUUCGCUUUAAAUCAAUUAUUUAAUUAAUUGUGUUUUGGGUGCAUUCGCUGCCACGUGUUACUCUUGGCAUUGUAUUUAUUCGGGUAAUUCGCUAACUGUAUAUAGUGUACAAUAAAUAUCAUUAUAAUUUUUUUGUUUUUUGCCAAAUUCAGUGCGCGCAGUUUUUUUUAUUUUUCUCUUUUUAUUGUGACAAACUGUAUCAGACCAGAUCCCGAAUUCCUCUAUUGUUACUCGCUUUAACAUUUGGUCCUUCGAGCCGGAUCGGUGCUGGUUUGGUCACAAUAGAAUUGUGCUUGGCUUAUUCUCUGGGUUAUUUCUCACGUUAACAAUUCGUGUUCAGCAUUUGGUGUAUUCGCUGUGCAGUGCCAAUCUGGUGAAAAGCUAAGUGUCAAAGGCAUCGCUGGACACAUCGGGUGUCGCCUUUGGCGGUCAGUGUACACCGGUACAUAGAACUUUUCCGUAUCAUUUGACCGAAAACUUAGUUCCGGGUCACCAGCACUGUUAUUCGCAUCAUGUCUCUCAACAACAAGGCUGCGCUGCAGCAGGACCGGGUUGAUUCUCUGGCCAACAUUGAUCAAAGACUCACGCCUGAGGCACUUCAGGCGAUGUCUCUCGAGCAAGCCAUGGCCCAGUUGGCUUUAGUCAAUAGAACCGUCGACCGUAUUGAGGCCUUGCACGAACGCAUUUACGAGGAGCACGAAGAAGUGCUCGAACAUGAGUACCACACCGCUCAGGUCUAUCAACGUGGUGCAACGCUGUACGGGAGCCUGCAGACCCGCUUGGAAGCCAAGGUGAACUCCCUGAAGGCAGAGGCGACACCUAGGCAUGCAGAUGCUACACAAUUUUUCGCGACUGGGCCAUCCUCUACUAAAUUGCCUCACAUAAAACUACCGACAUUCGACGGGGAUUAUACGAAAUGGCGUGGGUUUAGGGACUUAUUCACCACCCUCAUAAUUGAUGCCGAGCAACUCACUGGGGCACAGCGCAUGUCCUACCUCAAGACGCAACUCAAGGACGAUGCACUGGCACUCAUCGCAAACGUGCCUCUUACAGACGAGGCAUUCCCUGCUGCUUGGGAUCUCCUCGUCGCGCGUUAUGAUAACCCUCGUCGGCUUCUCAACACCUACUUGGAGGAACUCCUCACCACAGAGCCAGUGCCUAAUCACUCGGCACCUCAGCUAAACGCACUUGUAUUACAGACACAGAAAAUUAUCGAUGCGAUGGGAACCUUACGAGUCUCCAUUGCGGACUGGGACCCUAUCCUGGUUUUCGUCACCCUCAGACGUCUGGUACCAGAACUUAGGGAGGAGUGGGAGAGUACCCUGGGCAUCUCGAAUGAGCUGCCGGCGUACCAGAAAUUACAAGACUUCCUCAUCGGGAAGGUACGCGCCUGGGAGAUCAGCGCCAUCGGAGUCACCUCACGACCAACCUCACCCAAGGAGGACAAGGCUUCAACCUCCAAGCUGCUAAAAACCUCUAGCAAGCCCCCAAACACACGGUCACCCUCACAUUCCAGCAAGACUGCAAGUACCCCCUCUGGUUCCACCGCUCAAGUAUACUAUACACCUAAAGAGGCUACAGAUGAACCAGGCAUCUGCCAACUGUGUAGGCAAAAGCACUUUAUUUUGUACUGUCAGCAAUUUAAGGUUGCCUCUGUCGCACAGCGCCGUACUAUGGUUCAAGAUCAUCGACUGUGCUGGAAUUGUUUGGGACGCCACCGCUCACAGGACUGCCGCACCACUACAAGAUGUCGCCACUGUGGCAACAAGCACCACACGGCCAUCCAUGAAGAAUCUCGGGCUAAUCCUCAACCGACUGCUGCUUCGGGCAGCUCAGGUACAGAAUAGUCCUAUUAGGUCAUUCGCUAUGGACAGAAUUCGCUAACUGCAAUUGUUUUCAGGGCUCAAUUCUCUGGAAACAAUAGCCUUACUUGCUACAGCAACUGUUGCAACAGUUUUGGAGACGUUGGAGCAACGAAGUGCUUCAACGUCAUCAGGGCAUCUCCAAAUGGCAUCGGGCGUCCAACGACAUCAAAGUUGGCUCUCUG
rnacentral:misc_RNA from 1 species